AGCAGCCGCGGUAAUUCCAGCUCCAAUAGCGUAUAUUAAAGUUGUUGCAGUUAAAAAGCUCGUAGUUGAAUUUCGGGAUCAAUACGUCGGUCGUGCCUACGGUAUGUACUGUUGUCAUUGAUUCCUACCUUCUGACGAACCAUGAUGUCAUUCACUUGGUGUCAUGGGGGGUUAGGACUGUUACCUUGAAAAAUUAGAGUGUUUAAAGCAGGCUCACGCUUGAAUACAUUAGCAUGGAAUAAUGAAAUAGGACGUUUGAACCUAUUUUGUUGGUUUCUAGGAUCAACGUAAUGAUUAAUAGGGAUAGUUGGGGGCAUUAGUAUUCAAUUGUCAGAGGUGAAAUUCUUGGAUUUAUUGAAGACUAACUACUGCGAAAGCAUUUGCCAAGGAUGUUUUCAUUAAUCAAGAACGAAAGUUAGGGGAUCGAAGACGAUCAGAUACCGUCGUAGU
rnacentral:rRNA from 1 species